GAUGAAGAACGUAGCGAAAUGCGAUAAGUAAUGUGAAUUGCAGAAUUCAGUGAAUCAUCGAAUCUUUGAACGCACAUUGCGCCCGCCAGUAUUCUGGCGGGCAUGCCUGUUCGAGCGUCAUUUCAACCAUCAAGCCCCAGGCUUGUGUUGGGGACCUGCGGCUGCCGCAGGCCCUGAAAACCAGUGGCGGGCUCGCUGUCACACCGGGCGUAGUAGAUUUUAUCUCGCUCUGGGCGUGCUGCGGGUUCCGGCCGUUAAACCACCCUUUUAACCCAAGGUUGACCUCGGAUAAGGUAGGAAGACCCGCUGAACUUAAGCAUAUCAAUAAGCGGAGGA
rnacentral:misc_RNA from 1 species